AGAGUUUGAUCAUGGCUCAGAUUGAACGCUGGCGGCGUGCCUAACACAUGCAAGUCGAGCGGUAACAGGUGUAGCAAUACACGCUGACGAGCGGCGAACGGGUGAGUAACGCUUCGGAAUCUACCCAGUAGUGGGGAAUAACUAACCGAAAGGUUAGCUAAUGCCGCAUACGACCCAUGGGUGAAAGGGGGGGAUCGCAA
rnacentral:rRNA from 1 species